UACGUAGGGGUCGAGCGUUGUCCGGAGUUACUGGGCGUAAAGCGCGCGCAGGUGGCUCGUUGCGCCCGGCGUGAAAGCCCCCGGCUUAACCGGGGAAGGUCGUCGGGGACGGGCGAGCUUGAGGGCGGCAGGGGCCGGUGGAACUCCCGGUGUAGCGGUGAAAUGCGUAGAGAUCGGGAAGAACACCCGUGGCGAAGGCGGCCGCUGGCGGCGACC
rnacentral:rRNA from 1 species